GUUUUGGGAAGAGACGCCGGCACUUGAUACAGUAAUGAAACGAAUUAUAGAAAAGGUUAAAAAACUUACUGAUGGACUUCAAUUGCUUGUGGAGCGGUCCAUCAAGGCCUGGCAGAUCUUCAUGGGUGGAGACAGUGGAACAACGGUAACUGAAGGAGGAGUGACAACAGGAGGCGAAACGACCGAAGAAUACCCAGCAUAGUAUAAACUUGGAGGCCUAAUCAGUGGAAUUCUCAAGCUUUUGAUUAAAAGCUGAGACGGAGCAGAUCUUCAUUAUACAUUGCUAUACAUGCAUGAGC